rnacentral:rRNA from 1 species
ACGCUGGCGGCGUGCCUAACACAUGCAAGUCGAACGGGGUGAUUUCCUUCGGGGAAUCACUUAGUGGCGAACGGGUGAGUAACGCGUGAGGAACCUGCCUUUCAGUGGGGGACAACAGUUGGAAACGACUGCUAAUACCGCAUAAUGUAGCGAGACCGCAUGAUCUUGCUACCAAAGCUUUAUGUGCUGAAGGAUGGGCCUGCGUCUGAUUAGCUAGUUGGUGGGGUAACGGCCCACCAAGGCGACGAUCAGUAGCCGGUCUGAGAGGAUGAACGGCCACACUGGGACUGAGACACGGCCCAAACUCCUACGGGAGGCAGCAGUGGGGAAUCUUCCGCAAUGGGCGCAAGCCUGACGGAGCAACGCCGCGUGAGUGAAGAAGGUUUUCGGAUCGUAAAGCUCUGUUGAGAGGGACGAGAGAUAUAAUCAGGAAAUGGGUUAUAGAGGACGGUACCUUUCGAGGAAGCCACGGCUAACUACGUG